GGCUCAGAACGAACGCUGGCGGCGGGGCUUAGGCAUGCAAGUCGAGCGAGAAAGUCUUCGGACGAGUAAAGCGGCGUAAGGGUGAGUAAUAGUUAGUCAACAUACCAUACAGACACGGAUAAUUCGCCGAAAGGUGUUGUAAUACGUGAUGAGACCACGGGGUGUACGCACUUAGGGGUCAAAAGUCGGGGAUCCUUCGGGACCUGGCGCUGUUUGAGUGGACUAGCUCUGAUUAGCUAGUUGGCGGUGUAACGGACCACCAAGGCGAUGAUCAGUAGCCGGGCUGAGAGGCUGUCCGGCCACACGGGCACUGAGACACUGGCCCGACUCCUACGGGAGGCUGCAGUCGCGAAUUUUUCACAAUGGACGCAAGUCUGAUGAAGCCACGCCGCGUGCGGGAUGAAGGCCCUCUGGGUUGUAAACCGCUGUCAGGGAAGGGGAAACGCCCGGUGUUAACAGCAUCGUGUUUGACUGCUUUCCAAAGGAAGCCCCGGCAAAACAUGUGCCAGCAGCCGCGGUAAUACAUGUGGGGCAAGCGUUGUUCGGAAUCACUGGGCAUAAAGGGUGCGUAGGUGGUAUGAUAAGUCACGGGUGAAAGUCUGCGGCCCAACCGUAGAAUUGCCUGUGAUACUGUCGUACUUGAGUGCGUGAGGGGUAACCGGAACGAGCAGUGUAGCGGUGAAAUGCGUAGAUAUUGCUCGGAAGGCCAAAGGCGAAGGCAGGUUACUGGUGCGCAACUGACACUGAGGCACGAAAGCGUGGGGAGCAAACAGGAUUAGAUACCCUGGUAGUCCACGCCGUAAACGAUGAGCACUAGGUGGGUGGUGAGCUAUCGCUGCCUGCCGGAGGCAAUUUGGUAAGUGCUCCGCCUGGGGAGUAUGGUCGCAAGGCU
rnacentral:rRNA from 1 species